GUGAAUCAUCGAAUUUUUGAACGCAAAUUGCGCUUUCUGGCAUCCCGGGAAGUAUGUCUGUUUGAGGGUCUGUAUUAUUAAAAUAUCGGUUGAGUUACAAAUUGUUACGUUUCCGGUGUUGGGGCUUUCUUAACAUUUUUGGUUAAGAGGCUUAAAAUUGACCUUUUUUUCGCUUUUUUAAACUUACAUAAAUUUUUUUUAUUCGUCUAUUCUUAAUGCCAAAAUCUUAUUAAAUGUGAUCUCA
rnacentral:misc_RNA from 1 species